rnacentral:lncRNA from 1 species
UUGUUUCAUGUAUAUAGCAGGGUACCACAAUUAAUCCUCAUCCUCUUGAACUUUUAAGAGGGCCAGUGAGGUCCAAUUGUCUUCGAUCCACCUUCGUACGAGGGAUAGGUGUGUCUAAUACAAACUUUGUUUUGGAACCAUAUUAAAAAUUUUAAUGGACCAGAAGUUACAACCCUAACGGUGAUCGCACGUCAUUGCUUACAAUUGUAGGAAAUUGAACUGUAAAGCUUAAACUGGAAUAUCGUUAGUGCCACUAUGAUAUUGUCCUUAUGACACUGUUAAGAUGUGAUAUUGCUACUGUCAUGUUAAGAUACUGAUAUUGUCAUAAUGCGACAUUGUUAUUAUAAUUUUGGUCCCUACGCAAAGGGGCACCCACUUGUAGCGGACACAAUUAUAUUGCUAUGAUAUGUGAAUG